GACGAACGCUGGCGGCGCGCCUAACACAUGCAAGUCGAACGGAGCUGAGAGAAGCUUGCUUUUCUUAGCUUAGUGGCGAACGGGUGAGUAACGCGUGAGUAACCUGCCCUGGAGUGGGGGACAACAGUUGGAAACGACUGCUAAUACCGCAUAAGCCCACGAUCCGGCAUCGGACUGAGGGAAAAGGAUUUCUUCGCUUCAGGAUGGACUCGCGUCCAAUUAGCGAAUGGGUGAGGUAACGGCCCACCAAGGCGACGAUUGGUAGCCGGACUGAGAGAUUGAACGGCCACAUUGGGACUGAGACACGGCCCAGACUCCUACGGGAGGCAGCAGUGGGGAAUAUUGGACAAUGGGGGAAACCCUGAUGCAGCGACGCCGCGUGGAUGAAGAAGGUUUUCGGAUUGUAAACACCUGUCGUGAGGGACGAUAAUGACGGUACCUAACAAGAAGGCACCGGCUAACUACGUG
rnacentral:rRNA from 1 species